CUGGCCGCUCCCGUACCGCCCGCCCGCGCGCCCAGGGGAGCGUGUCCCUCAGCCCCAAGCCGCCGGGCGCUGCCCCGUCAGGAGGGCGUGAGGGCGGACCCGGCAGCCAGCCAGGGUGUGAUGCUACCCCGACUGCUCCGGUGCUGCCUCAAGCCCGAACUCGGGGGUUUCUGAAAGCACCUGAGCGUAAACAGAAGUUACUCGGGCAGGAGAAUCUGGAGCUCAGAAAAGGUGCCAGACUGAUGGAGCUGGAAGCCAAGGCCUUUGCUGCUUUUCAUGCUGCCACACUGGUGUUUAAUCCAACUUUUAGAAGCUGGAUGGAACUCACAAGCUAUCUGGUCAGGACACCAGAACAUAAAUUGUUUGGUGCAACCCUUCAGAAGACGAUCUAAAAGAUCACUACUAAUGAGUUUCCAUGAAAAUGAACUGUAAACUGCCAUUAAGUAAUGGUCACAAUACUGUCUUUAACUAUGACUAUCUCCUUUUAGUAUCUUGGGGCUGUACCUAUGGAUGCUACAUACAAAAAUACAAUAUAGAAAAUGAAAAUAAAAAUAGGAAUAGAAGAUUUGGUGUUCCCUUU
rnacentral:lncRNA from 1 species